rnacentral:rRNA from 1 species
AACGAACGCUGGCGGCAGGCUUAACACAUGCAAGUCGAGCGCCCCGCAAGGGGAGCGGCAGACGGGUGAGUAACGCGUGGGAAUCUACCCAUCUCUACGGAAUAACGCAUGGAAACGUGUGCUAAUACCGUAUACGUCCUUCGGGAGAAAGAUUUAUCGGAGAUGGAUGAGCCCGAGUUGGAUCAGCUAGUUGGUGGGGUAAAGGCCUACCAAGGCGACGAUCCAUAGCUGGUCUGAGAGGAUGAUCAGCCACACUGGGACUGAGACACGGCCAAGACUCCUACGGGAGGCAGCAGUGGGGAAUAUUGGACAAUGGGCGCAAGCCUGAUCCAGCCAUGCCACGUGAGUGAUGAAGGCCCUAGGGUUGUAAAGCUCUUUCACCGGUGAAGAUAAUGACGGUAACCGGAGAAGAAGCCCCGGCUAACUUCGUGCCAGCCGCCGCCGUAAAAC